UCGAUCCCCACGCACAGAAAAAUUGAGGAGAAACCCCUCGAGACGGAAAAACUAUCACGACCUCCACUUCUCCCACGACCUGCCAGUCUCAUCUCUCCCGGCUCCCGCGACCACCCGAGCAAACUCCCUCUCCACCUCUUCUCCCUACUACCUCCACUACCACCACCCCCAUCCGUGAAACUGCCGUGCAUCUGUUCUGCGCAUCCGGCUACGCGCGCCGCCGGCUAGGGAAGCCGAAAAGAGGAACUGCUGGCACCUCCGACGGUAUCCUUCCUCGGCCAGGUAGGAACCUCCAUGUGAGGCUUGAGGUGGGUGCAUCCAGUGCCUGGGUGUAUCAGGCGGCAGGGGGGGGUGCGCCACGGCACCGAGAACUGGUCCAGCACCAUUGUCUCACAUAAGGACGGCCUGUCUCUUCCUCCUCCCCGCUCAAAUUUUUAUGGCAGCUGCCUAGGAGCUUCUUCUUCCUUUAUCUUGAUUUGUUACUCACAACCCUGGUACAAAUCUUUAGUUUUACUCCUAUAUUUCAAUCGACUGAUUUUGAUUGGUGCUAAGACGAAUUUUGUGGCCAUGUCCGAUGGAAGGCGCGAAUGUAGGCCUCCUCGGAGGCUCGGACUCGUAUCUCGUGUCCAUCAGUCACAACCAUGAGUGGACGAGCUGGUGGUAGGAAGUAAUAGAGGGGGUGGGCAUGGCGGCAAGGUCAGCGGGGAGACCCCAUGGCACGCGCCCCAGCAGAAGCAGUAGGGGAGGGUGCCAUUGGCGAGACAGGUAAGCCACUCCCCACUUCUUCCUUUCUUCAGUUUCCAUUUUCUCGUCCGCGCAGCCUCGCCGGCGAUCCAGGUGUUCCGUCUAAUCCCUGGUUAGCUUCCCACUUCAAUGCGCCCUAUAUGAUUCCCCAUUGGCUUCCCCCUGCAGGAAUUUAUUUUAUGUGUUAUUCAAUUUAGUUCUUGCGCCCCCAUAUAUGAUUUGUUUUGGUGAUUAUACAGUACUAAACUUUCGAUCAACGAUGGAACAUGAGUUAUACUUCAAGGAUUCCAGUUCGAGACUUGUGGUUUUAUGUGUUCUUUUUUUGUGUGGAAGUGGGGGUGUCUCGGCGGUAUGAGACUGAUUUUUUGUGUGUGUGGAUUAACUCCUAAUUUGUGUCGGAUGUUCUGGUCUGCUAGCCUGGGAGUGGUGCAGUGGAUUUGUAGGUAGAUUUUUUUUUGGGAUUCGAGCAUCAAGAGCGAAGGGUUCAGUACUUAAUUCGUUAGGAUUCAGAAUCUCAGUAUACAUUUGUUAUGAGGAAUUAUUCAGUCUUUUCUGGACACAUUCUUAAGCUACUUGUGUUUUUCCAUUGAUCUUUUCACAUUACAAACCAGUUGAUCCUUUUGUUGCUAGCUCUCCUCUCCCACACCACACACACACCUCUAUAUCUUCACUCAUUUUCGUAUGUCAGUCUUCAGUAGUGGGAACCAAAUGAGGUUUUAAAUCAGAUAAGUUUUGUCAGUCUUGUUUUUGUCAGUGUUCUUUGUGUUAAAUACUUCAGAGUAGGUCCGUGUUCAGUUUUCAUUAGCGAAACUGGUAAUGAAAAAACGUGGACGACCUUUCUUAUAAAGCGGUUGGUUGCUAGGCUGGGUACGAGAUUACCGGCCUGGAUUUAGACGUCGUGCGCGAAUUGUUAAAGAUGUAUCGUCCGUAUAGCAUGGUUUUUUCAUUAAAGGUAGUAACCAAGGCCUCUACAUUCUGUUGUGUUUCUUUCUUUUUCAGCUUAUAGCAUUCCCUCUGUCCUAUUUCAUGCUUAUAUUUUCAUUUUAUUUCUCAAGCCUCUGUUUUAGCUUUUAGCAAGGCUCAACUUAAGGUACUAACGAAGAUAUCUUCACUCCUUCACUAUAUUCUGCAGUCAGCAGCCCUUCGUUUCAUUUUUAUCCUAAUUGGCCGAAUCGUCAAAUGGACUUGCAAAACUAAGUUGUAUGAGCAUUGACUAACAAAGCUGCUCGUGGACGAGGGAGACAUAGUAAGAGGGGUUCGGUUCACCAUUGGACAACCUCCCGACACGGUCAGUGCACCAGACAGAAACAUUCAACCUAGACCCAAAUCAAAAUUACUUGACUAAUAGUUAGGCACUCCCUAAAUAUUUUUUCGUCCAGAUAACGUGCACCAUUGAUGGUGGCACAGCGACCUAUGUUGUGGUCACCGGCGCUCUCAUUGUGACCUCAGCCCUAGGUUUGUCGGUGAAGCUAGCAUGCGCCGUCCUCCUCACGCCUCUCUCCUUGACCAUCCGAUUAGUUACUCUCUUACUCGGUAAAUAAUCACCCCCACCACAAAACCCUCUGUUUCAUCUAUUCUUUUCAGAAUUUCAUGUGUACAUCGGCAAUAUCACAUUUGCAAUGGAGUAAUGGCAAGAUCUAAUGCCAUUAGCAAUUCAAACGUGACAAGCCCUACAGGAGUAAAUUAAUUUUCGAGAAGGUGACGUAGUCACAUCUGUAGACAACAGCAGCAUUUUUUGUCUAUGCUUAUUUCUGAAAAAUGCACUGAUUGGUGAAUACUUUGUAUAUUUGUGGAGUAAUGUUCAUUGGGAAAGAAAUUAUGCAUGAGCUAGACCUUGGGGUCAUUUGAAUCAAUUAAAACACGCAUGAGUUUUAUUGGAGGUAUUAAAACUUAAUUCAUGUUUUCAUCUAUGUUGACCUGGUCGAACUUGAGUACGACCAGCUUAAUUUGCUGUCUCUUGUUUUUUAAACAUGAAAGUCCGACAACAUGUAGGUGAUUAUUUUGCCUUGCCUACAGUUUUCUAAAGGAGGUGAGGAACUGUACUGUUUGUUAGUUAUUUCCUAGAAGCAAAGUCAGCUGGGAUUCUAUAAAGCUUGAAAAUGCAUUAGAAUAAACAUUAUGCUCUAGCAGUAUCAAGGAAAGUCAUCACAUUAUGAAGAGAACAUGGAAAGCGAAUUUGGGGUUUGCAGUCAUCUAUGUUGUUCAUCCAAUCUUCUAAUUUUCAGAUGUUUGACACUUUAUCUUCACGCAAUUAUUUAUUGCAGGACAGUACAAAAUUCACAUCCAAUUGAUAGAUAUACUGCUGGUUUCUUCAUCUGAUUGCCUUGCCUAAAGUUUUAUAAAGGAAAUGGGGAACUAUACUAUUUAUGAACCCUGUUACCGCUAAGAUCCUUGUACUGGUAGUUUGUGCUAUAAAGAAAGAAGCGUCACUUUGGGCUACUACGGGUGCUCACGAGAGUAAUCCGUUCGUGUUGUGUCGCUGUGGUGGUGUGUGUCUUACUACAAACUCUUCUUCUUAAUCAAUGAAAUGGCAAAUCUUUUGCCUUGUUUCAACAAAAGUAGAUCUUUGUACUGAGGUAGCUUUUGUAUUGCCCCUUCUUUUUUCUUUUACUUGUGUAUAUGCAGCUAUUUUUUGCGACAAUCUGUAUAUGCAGUUAGAGUUGAGAAAAUGGGAUAUCUUUGUUUUAGAAAAAAGUUGAAAGAUCUUUAUUAUUUGGGUAUCAAAUUAUUCCCGCUCUGCAGAAAUCACGCCUUCUCUUUAAAGACGUGAUAU
rnacentral:rRNA from 1 species